GAGAAUAUAGUUUAGUGGUAAAACACUUGCCCAGCAUGCACAAGGCCCUAGGUUCAAACCCCAGUACAAUUA
rnacentral:tRNA from 1 species